GCACUCCUCUUGGUGGCACAUAUGCAAAAAUAGGAAAGAUACAGAGAUGAGCAUGGCCCUAUGCAAGGAUGACACGCAAAUUUACAAAUUGUUUUAUACUUUU
ensembl:snRNA U6 U6 spliceosomal RNA